UAUAAACGCAAAUAUUUUACUAAAUUAGUGUUAGUUAUGUUCUUUAAAAUUAAAAAAUUUGGCGGUAUUUUAGUCUAUUCAGAGGAACCUGUUCUAUAAUUGAUAUUCCACGAUAAGUUAAACUUAUUUUUUUAAUUUGUAUAUCGUUGUAGGUUGAAUAUUUUAUUAGGAUUUUUAAUAUUCUAAAUUUUUGAAAGGAAAAUAAAUCAGAUCAAGGUGCAGUUUAUAAAUAAGGAGAAAUGGGUUUCAAUAUUUUUAAUUAAAUGGAUAAAUUUUUUAAAAAUUUUUUGAAAGUGGAUUUGAGAGUAAUUUUAAUUAUUUUAUUAAAAUGAUUUUAGCUCUAAAAUAUGU
rnacentral:rRNA from 1 species